rnacentral:rRNA from 1 species
UCCCUAGUAACUGCGAGUGAAGCGGGAAAAGCUCAAAUUUAAAAUCUGGUGGUCUUUGGCCAUCCGAGUUGUAGUCUGGAGAAGUGCUUUCCGCGUUGGACCGUGUACAAGUCUCUUGGAACAGAGCGUCAUAGAGGGUGAGAAUCCCGUCUUUGACACGGACUACCAAUGCUUUGUGAUGCGCUCUCAAAGAGUCGAGUUGUUUGGGAAUGCAGCUCAAAAUGGGUGGUAAAUUCCAUCUAAAGCUAAAUAUUGGCGAGAGACCGAUAGCGAACAAGUACCGUGAGGGAAAGAUGAAAAGCACUUUGGAAAGAGAGUUAAACAGUACGUGAAAUUGCUGAAAGGGAAACGCUUGAAGUCAGUCGCGUUGGCCGGAACUCAGCCUUGCUUUUGCUAGGUGCACUUUCUGGUUGACGGGCCAGCAUCAAUUUUGAUUGUUGGAUAAAGGUUGGGGGAAUGUGGCACCUUCGGGUGUGUUAUAGCCCUCAGUCACAUACAACAGUUGGGAUUGAGGAUCUCAGCACGCCUUUAUGGCCGGGGUUCGCCCACGUUCGUGCUUAGGAUGCUGGCAUAAUGGCUUUAAACGACCCGUCUUGAAACACGGACCAAGGAGUCUAACAUGCCUGCGAGUGUUUGGGUGGAAAACCCGAGCGCGUAAUGAAAGUGAAAGUUGGGAUCUCUGUCAUGGAGAGCACCGACGCCCGGACCUGACCUUCUGUGACGGCUCCGCGGUAGAGCAUGUAUGUUGGGACCCGAAAGAUGGUGAACUAUGCCUGAAUAGGGUGAAGCCAGAGGAAACUCUGGUGGAGGCUCGUAGCGAUUCUGACGUGCAAAUCGAUCGUCAAAUUUGGGUAUAGGGGCGAAAGACUAAUCGAACCAUC